GGAAAAAAAAAGGUCUUGAUAAUUAGUAAAGUUUUCAUUUUUCAGCUCUGAAAAUCAAGAUUCAGUUCAGAGGACCACAUCUAUGGAUUCCUCAGACCUUACCAAGACAAAAACAUCAUCUUUAUCAACCCCAUCUAAGCAUUUCUGGGUUCUUCCUUACAAAACUCAAAGUCUUGAGAGUCUUUACACACUAGGCAAAAUAUUGGGUCAAGGUCAGUUUGGAACUACCUAUCUUUGUACUGA
rnacentral:misc_RNA from 1 species